AAUCACUAUAAUUUUCUCUCUAUUGCUUCUUCUUUCGGUUUUCAAGUUUCAACCACAAUUCAUUCAUUCAUAUUUCAGUUGCAAAUCUCGAAAAAAGUCUGAGAAAAAUGAAUAUAUAAAGUUGGAGAGAGAAACACAGCAAAACACAUGACGAUGCCGUUGCAAUAAUUCACUUUUUCUUUCCCAACAUCUUCCGUUUAUUUUUUUAUUGCCUACUCUGCUUACUCCAAGAGGGAGAGAGAUCUUUCUCAAGGUUGGAUUCUCAAGUUGAUCUGUUAUAUUUUUGCUUGAUAAAACAUCAAUAAAGAACUCUGAGAAAUGUCUAGCCCAGCAAAAGUUCUGGAUCCUGCAUUUCAAGGAGGGAGUGGGUCAAAAACCCGGGACUGAAAUCUGGCGU